AGCUUUGUGCAGUGGCAGAAUCGUAGCCAAUGAGGUUUAUCUGAGGUGCGAUCAUUGCUAAAAAAAUCACCAUUUAACCUUUCAAGUCCAACAACCUUCAUAACUCGAAUAUAUACAACUUACUUAAAA
rnacentral:snRNA from 7 species